UUUUCUUUUUUUAAAGACAUGGUCUUAUAUAGUCUAGGCUGGCCUUAAACUCAUUACUUAGCCAAGGAUGGCUUUGAAAGAUCCUCCUGUCCUCUUGUUUGGCUUGCACAUGGCAUGUGCCAUACAUCCAGAUUUUUCUCUGUAUCUAGGUCUUUUUAAGAUAUUUCCAAGGACUGCCCACAAAUCCACAGUGCAGUACUUUCUUGACUGGGAAAGCGGGGUUGGUGUGCUUUUCAAAGGCACACACCAUUAUGCCCAGCUGGUCUGCCAAACUUAACAUAUUUGGUUUCUGUGCAAACUGUCCAUUUGGAAGGUUUCUGUGUGUUGUAGUUUCAGUUGAAUGUGGCUCUCUGUAGCUUUCAAGAAUGGGUAGAAAUCAUAAAGCACUCUUAAGUAAUCAUUGCAUUGUAGACAUUUUUUUUUUUAACUAGGGGGUAUUUGGGAGACAUGUCAGAUAUUCACUUUUGUUUUAUGUGUCUUAAAACCAGUGUUACUUACACCCUGCCUCAGCACUGGCACUUUUCAAACCUGUCUUGGAGACACUGUAAACUUGGAUGGUGCAGUUCUGGGUUUUCAUGUGUAAAAUGUCAACUACAAAGGUCAAUAUCCAGGUUUGUUGUGUUCUACCUUAUGUAGAGAGAAGCAAAGCAGAAAGGGCAGAUAGAGCAGCCAGAAAGUGCUAGUGUCCCCCCCCAAAGCGUGCUUCUAGAUAGUGUGUGGAUCAGGUGUGCUUGGUUUGUUCAGUUAGCGUCACCUGUUGUGCAUGGUUGAGGUAAUGUGUUACCAGUUCUUUAGUGGUUACAUGCACAAAAGAGAGGACCUCUGAGUCGGGUGUGGGAUGAGCUUUCCAGACCUGGCAGGGUAAACUACCUCAGUUUAUAAUCUCCCUGGUUAUUUCCGUUUGAUGUGAUCUAAGGUCUGCCUCAGUGGUGAUGAUGUUCAUCCACACACAAGGUUAGUAAGAGUGCACGACCAGAAACGUUGGUCUUAUUUUUGAGAACCCCCAUUUCUGUGUAUUUUAUGCACCUGCCUUUAGUGAACUCCAGAGUGCAUUAAAGAGUCUGGUUUAGUGCCGUGGGAAUGGGCUAGUUUAGAAGCUAUGUUUGGAAAGCAGGCAAGUUGACUUUAGGAAGAAAAGCUGUGACAGUGUGUAGACAUUUCUUUUAAACCGGACUGCAGCUUAACAACACUUGAUUUCAGAUGAUUAGGUUUUUGUUUCUGAGACCCAGCACCUGUAUAUUUAAAAAUUGUUCCAGAUUACACCUUCACUAUCAAAUGAGUAAAUGACUCAUGCCUGCAGACAUGUCCUGAUGGUGGCAAGAACAGAAGGAUCUUUGACUGAAGGAGAAAAACUGUCAUUGUCAUCCCAGCCCCCAGGAAAGAACACCUCCAAGGCAGGCAGGCAGGCAGGCAGGCAUGGUGGUUCUAGUUGAAUACACAUUCAAGUCUUGCAGUGGUGCUUUAGAUCUGUGUAGCAUGUGAGGCUCUGUACAGGUGGGGGCCACACUUCUGAGGGCUGAAAUGUGGCAACCCUUUAUCUAACUUGAAAUCAAAACCGUCAAAUUUUAUUUUUUAUAAUUUAAGAAAGAGUUGGGGAAUGACAUUUUUUGAGUUGGCCUUUUCAGCUCAGUCAUUUUACGUGUAACGUGGAGAUUUGAUAGCUCAGAUUAUAUUUGUAUAUAAUUAUUAACUAAUCUGUAAAUUGUAAUAAAUAUAUUUGCAAUUAUU
rnacentral:lncRNA from 1 species